rnacentral:tRNA from 1 species
GGUUAUAGCUGAGUGUUAGAGCACAUGCUUAGCAUGCAUGAGGUCGUGGGUUCAAUCCCCAGUACUUCCA